rnacentral:rRNA from 1 species
UACGGGGGGGGCAAGCGUUGUUCGGAAUCACUGGGCGUAAAGGGCGCGUAGGCGGAUCUUUAAGUCGGGGGUGAAAGCCCAGGGCUCAACCCUGGAAUUGCCUUCGAUACUGAAGAUCUCGAGACCGGAAGAGGUAAGUGGAACUGCGAGUGUAGAGGUGAAAUUCGUAGAUAUUCGCAAGAACACCAGUGGCGAAGGCGGCUUACUGGUCCGGUUCUGACGCUGAGGCGCGAAAGCGUGGGGAGCAAACAGG